rfam:TPA: Bos taurus chromosome 6, whole genome shotgun sequence.
ACCAAGGUUCUCUUCAGAACCACCAUAUUCUCCUUCUUUAAGGAAGU